rnacentral:misc_RNA from 1 species
CUAUUAUACGUCGUCUUAAAUUAUCAUACUCCUGUUUCUUCGAAUUUUCUUCCUUUUAUUCGCGCGCGAAAAUACCACGCAACGUUCACUACGUUUUGUAUUUUUGUUCGCAGCGUUGCUUCUUUUUUUCCCGCUUUUGCCUCGGAAUGUCGCUGUUUCUUUUCUUUUCCGCUUUUACUCUCUUUCCGCGUAACGUAACUUCCUUCUUUCGUCUUCUCUGGAAUUUUGCUUGUUCCGCCUGCUUUCCGCUCCAAUUUCCCUUCUCUUUCUGCCACUCUUUUCCUCUCGUGAAAAUUGCUGUAGCGUCGUGU